rnacentral:rRNA from 1 species
AACGAACGCUGGCGGCGUGCCUUAAGCAUGCAAGUUGAACGGAGAAACUCAUAUGAGUUUUUUAGUGGCGAACGGGUGAGUAACACGUAGCUUAGCUAUCCUUAAGUAAGGAAUAGCCGAGGGAAGCCUCGGGUAAUACCUUAUAAUAUCUACGGAUUAAAGCCUUACGGCGCUUUAGGAGGUGGCUGCGUCCCAUCAGGUAGUUGGAGAGGUAAUAGCUCCCCAAGCCUAUGACGGGUAUCCGGCCUGAGAGGGUGAUCGGACACAUUGGAACUGAGACACGGUCCAGACUCCUACGGGAGGCAGCAGUGAGGAAUAUUGGUCAAUGGGCGCAAGCCUGAACCAGCCAUGCCGCGUGCAGGAAGACGGUCCUAUGGAUUGUAAACUGCUUUUAUACGAGAAGAAACACUACCUUGCGAGGUAGCUUGACGGUAUCGUAAGAAUAAGGAUCGGCUAACUCCGUGCCAGCAGCCGCGGUAAUACGGAGGGUACUAGCGUUAAUCGGAAUUAUUGGGCGUAAAGAGUUUGUAGGCGGUAUAGUAAGUCAAGUAUAAAAUCUUUAAGCUUAACUUAAAAUAUGUAUUUGAUACUACUUUAACUUUGAGUUUAUUAGAGGGUUGUGGAAUUUUCAGUGUAGCAGUGAAAUGCGUAGAUAUUGAAAGGAACAUCAAUGGCGAAGGCAGCAACCUGGGUAUAAACUGACGCUAAAGAACGAAAGCAUGGGUAGCAAACAGGAUUAGAUACCCUGGUAGUCCAUGCUGUAAACGAUGAUUGCUAGAUGUUGGUAUAAAAUAUUUAUAUUAGUAUCUGAGCUAACGCAUUAAGCAAUCCGCCUGAGUAGUACGGUCGCAAGAUUAAAACUCAAAGAAAUUGACGGGGACCCGCACAAGCGGUGGAGCAUGUGGUUUAAUUCGAUACAACGCGAAGAACCUUACCAGGGUUUGACAUGAUACGAA